CGCCCCGUGGCCCUGGGGGCUGCACAGCUCUGAAGAGAAGCCCAUGGUGCCGUCCUGGGGACAGAGACAGGGCAGCCCGGCGCUGGCCCACCGCUCCCCCAGGGAGGCCCUAGAACUCCGCGGGAGACGGCCUUUGGAGUCCUGACUUGGGCCCACCUAGAGGCAAGCGGGACAUCAACUGGCCCCAAUCCCCGCCCCCAUCCCGGAUGCAGUCCCAGGGUCCCAGGAAGAACAACAUCACCACACUGGAGACCAGGCCUGGUUUGCAUAGUCUGCACGUUUAAUCACUUUAAAACCUCUAACAUUAUCUCGUGUCCAUUAAAUAGAACCAACAAUGCUGGGCCUGUUUAAAUUACAAGGAAAAAAAAAAUCACUGGGCACCAACCCAGUAUCUUACAAAAUCAGCCAGGCUGGCCACAAGGGUGGGGGGAUGGGAGAGGAGGAGACACCCCUAGGCAGGUGGCUGGGUGCCAGGAAGGGCUGGGGGAGAGAAAGAAAAGAGGGCUCCCAGAUGGGGGGGGUACUGAUUGUCCUAAUGGGAGGGGUGCGAAAGGCACGUCAGAAGAGGGGGACUUAAGGGGGCAGAACAGGUCAGUGCUUUCUCCACAAGGGCACAGUGUUGGAGGGGGCUCGGUGCCACCACCUGCCCGCCCCUGGCACUUGGAGAACCAGUGACCCAUGAGCCCUUGGCACGAUGCGCCCCAUCUGAAACACGGGUGACAGCCUGCCCCUCCCACCACGAUCCCCUUUCCUAGGGCCCACCUGGCUUGCCCGCCUGCCUCUUCAGGACUUGGGGCUCAGCUCCUCCUCACUCCUCAGCAACAUGCUGCAGCCCCCCACACCUCAGGGCCAGCGUAGCUGGGGGAACAGCAGAGUGGACAGUGGGUGUGGGAAGGUGGGUGGUCCAGCUGCUACCCCCAUUACAAAUACAAAAAAAAAAAAAAAACCCCAAAA